rnacentral:pre_miRNA from 1 species
AUUGUACUCACUCCAUCCGAAAAAACUUGUCCCAAGCUUGUCCCUCAAAUGGAUGUAUGUAGCACUAACUUGGUGCUAGAUACAUCCAUUUGAGGGACAAGCUUUUUCGGAUGGAGGGAGUAUGCU